AGCAGAGAGCCCGGUGCUCACAAACCACAAGAUCAUGACCUGAGCUGAAGCUGGACGCUUAACUAACUGAGCCACCCAGGUGCCCCAGAACUUGUAAAUUUCUAUCCAGUUUCGAGUUAAUAAGUAAAUAUGCUGUCCAACAUUUUUCAAGUUUUAUUCUCUGUGAGAAGUUAAUGUGCCUUAAAAAAAUGGCUUCCAGGUUAAUUUAUAUUUGGGAAAUACAGCAGGCCAUGUUCCCUUUUUCAGACAUAUGGUACACAUUAGGAUAUUUAAUCUUUGAGUAGGCUUGUACUUUAACUAAGUGGUUUGCAAAUGUUUCUCACCAUAGAACUGGCUUUUUGAUUUGUUUGUUUGUUUGUUUGUUUUCAAGGAUUUAGGAGAAAGUUUUUGUUUUGUUUUGCCCUGUGUUUUGCAAAAUUCUUGCCCUUAACUUGGUAACACCAGACUUAUAAUAUAAAAGUUUUAGAAUGAUAUAUUGCCCUAAUAAUGUAUAUUUUCUAAGCAAGAUGCUAAAUUCCAAUGGUCAGAAAACACAAGACCAGCUCUUAAAAUGUGUGUGUGUGUAUUUAUCAAGUUACCCUGACUUAGUUCUAGAACGAGAUUCCAUAUAUUGUUUAUCUUCUAACCUAUGAUACAUAAUUCAAAAUCUCUUACUGUAAAGCCCAUAACUUCCUGAAAGCUGGCAUGUAGCUCAACUAAGCGCUUUGCUCAGAGGGAGGGUGAUGUUGUUGCCUGCCCCAAAUCAUUGCACCUCGGAGAAGGGAGGGGUAGUUAUUUCAAGGUAGCCCCACACCCUGUUAUUGUAAAUGCCACUCAUGAGUGAUGGUCAUUAAGCAGAAAUACUGGUGAAAUUCAUUUUAAGGAUCUUCUGCAGACGUGUAUUUCAUGAAUCAUCUGCUUCCUUAAAAAAUGACUCUCUAAAAACAGUAUGGUAUCCUGAAUUGGGUCCUAGAAUAGAUCAAAGACAUUAGUUAGGAAAAAAAAAAGGUAAACAUCCAAAUUAAAGUAUAUAGUUUAGUUAAUAGCAUUAUAACAAUUUUAUUUUCUUAGUUUUUAUAAAUAUACCAUGGUUAGGUAAGAUGUUAACAUCAGGGGAAGAUAAAGGGUAUUCAUGAAUUCUAAGAUCUUUGCAAAUUUUCUGUUAAUUAAAAUUAUUCCAAAAUUAAAAAAAAAUAAAUCUAAUAUGAGGAAAGUAGUAUUAAGUUGGCUUGUUUAUUUUAGUGAUCUUGGGAAUCGUGUUUUUGCUUUUCAAUGGAUUAAAUAUGAGCAAACAGUAUAUAAAGAAAUCUAAACACAAAACAAAACCAAAACCCCCGAUGAACUGUAAGCUCUUAAACAUUAAACGUUUUAUUCUUGGCACCAGAAUUCCUCUUAUAAAAAUCAUUCUCAUUUUCUCUCUUUUUUAACUUAAAAAAAUUUUUAGUAAUAUGCCUUAAUAAGCCUCAUAAAACAGAGCCUAAGAACAUGUAAGAACAUGGCAAAGCAAGCAAGCAAGCAAGAAAGAAAGAAAGAAAGAAAGAAAGAAAGAAAAAGAGAAAAGAAAGAAAAAGCAAAAGAAAAAAGAAAAACAGUUAAGGAAGGCUGCAUGACAUUAAAAGAGUUUUGGUUUUUUACAGGAAGGGGAAUAACAGAGAUACUAAACAGAGAAGGGAAAGAGAGAAGAGAUGGAAAGAUUCAGUGACACCAUUUGGGCAGCAGCACUACUCAGGCUGACCAAACCCAGCAGGCACUCUUUGCUGUCCUCAAGAAGCUCACCCUUCUCUCCUGGAGAAGAUGUGCUCUGGUCCAACAUUGUUUCUACCUCUGACUGGCUGCUUGAGCCUGCCUAAUUCUGGCUUAAGUUAUGAGGUCUAUCCAUUGAUCUAGCUUUCUAGAUGCCCUGGAAUGUUCUGGAAGUCUGGCCUCUCUGCUGUCACACACCCAUCUGUGAAUGAUGUUCUCCUCUACAGUAGUAUGACUGAAGGGGGCAGAAAAAGGGAAGGCCGUUGACUGAACGGUAAUAGUUCAGGUCAGAAUCAACCUUUACUUUCUGUCUGUAGACACGCGGUUGCAGAAAACAAUUUGUAUGAUCAGCACAAAUUAUAGGUCUUUUUUUGACUCACCCCAAGCACCGAGAAUGGGUAAAUAGGCUUUACCUAUGAAAAAAUGUGAACUGACUUUUGGAACAAAUUAUGCUGUGGUUGUUUCCAGUGCUAUUCACACAGCUUUCAAAACAAGUUACAGUAACUAUUAAACAUAGCCUUUUAUGUUUUGCUUUAAGUGUUAAGCCUUUGAAUAUUUAAGUGGCUACAUUGGCCCUAAGUAAAUCCCAGUCUUCAGAAGUCUUCUUAUAACUUUUCCACGUUUUGUAAGUCUGCUUGGAACAUUUACAGUGGUUUCCAUUGACUUAGCUCUCAAUUCAUAAUGAAUGCAUGUCUGUGGGAGGUUCUGUUUGUGUGGCAGUGUAGGGCCUGCUGACUCAGGAAUAACAGCCCUAUAUUUAGUGGGCACAAGACAGGCAUAAACUCCCUACCAGCAGUCUCACCCCUCUUAACAACACUACAGUAGCUGAAACCUUGGUUUAUACAUUUUGCUGAUAAGCCAAUCAAAAUUCUUCCAACUAACUGGUAAAACAUAUAGUAUGUGACUAUGCUUUCUGAAGCCAACUCUGUGCAGUGCAAAUUCUCUGUACUUAACAAUUGUUAUAAUACCCAUCCCGGAUGUUGAGAGGUAUAGCUGAAAGACCAAAAAUCUAGGAAAUAAUAAGAGCAAGUGACAGUUUUUCCAUAAUUCAUUUUAUAGUGUAAGCCGCAUGUCUCAGGCACUUACUAUAAACAAAUAACUGGGAGAUUCAAGAAUGAACAAAGGCUUAUCCUUCACUAUGCUUCUAAGCUGGUGCUAUACUGUCCAAUAUAACUACUAGUCACCUUUGACUAUUCAAAUUUAAGUGUAAAUUAAUUGAAAUUAAAUAAAAGUUAAUUCCUCCACCAUAGUAGAUGCAUUUAAGAGUUCAGUAGUGAUAUGUGGCUGAGGGCUACCAUAUUAGACAGCACAAAUAGAGAACAUUUCCAUCCUAACAAAGUUCUGUUAGCACUGAUCAGUUGGAACUCUGUGUAAUUAACUACUUGAAUACAACUGGCAAGCUAAGACGAUGGUUUUUUUGUGUGUGUUUUGUUUUGCAAUAGUUGAGGAGAGAUACUUUUUGCUGUAUUAAAAUUUUACCGUAUUUGUUAAUUAAGCCUUCAAAGUCAACACUGUGGUAAAGAAUAACAUGAUUAAGUGUUCUCCAUUCAAAAGAAGCUGUACAUACCUACUAGAAUUCAGGGUAGGCAGUACUUGUAUUGCAUUACAAAUCUUCUUAUUAAAAUUAUGGUGAAGCACAAAAGUAAUCCCUGGUAUACAUUGCAACGUGUGUGUGUGUGUGUGUGUGUUUGUGUGUGCGAGUGCGCAAUCUUCUUUGUAAAAGUUGAUAAAAAUAAAAAGUUCAUCUCAAAUUAUUCUAAGCUAAGAACAUUGCUCUAAACUGGUCUCAUACAGCCGUACAGGGAUAAAAAACAGCCAUGAGCUAACAACUGCAACAAUUCCUUACUUGGGAAACCAAAGGGCAUAAAAUCAAACUCAAAUGUGUCAUCUCUGCUGUCUCAGUUCCUAGUACUAUACUUUCUGGAACUUUCUUCUCUAAACUUGACUUUCUCUUGUUCUUUGUUGCAUGAUGGCCAGUUCAUUUGCUCAGAAGUUGAUUUUUCAGGCAUUAUUUUGAAACUUGGAUUUUAUUUAUAUCUUUAUUUUCCCCGAUCAGCAUAUGAAAUGGAAAAACGAAUGUGCUACAGAGAGCAGAUAGCUCUAUUAUAAUGAGAGGUCAUUUAGUCUUGAUGGUUAUUUUUUGCUACUAAUAAACUUGAUGUCGCAGUUCCAUGAAAUGAGAAUGAAAAGGUUACAGCCCGAGAAUGUUAGUGGAAUUAGAGGUGCCAUGUUCAUCUUUAUUUAGUUUUUUUUAACAGGCUACCAAGUAGAUGCUUGGAAGAGAAGUCUCAAUUCUGCAUUCAAAUGUGUACAUAUAAGUGAAAUAAGUUUGCCUAAACACGCUUGUGAUUUCAGCUUAUGUUUGGGCAUGCCUGGAAGCAUGGAAGGUGCUCUAACACUGUUUCUUCCUGGUCAGGUUGCCAAUUCACCUCAACACCUCUGCACCAGGUAGGUAGGGUUACUGAUAAACUAGGUCAGCAUUGGUGGUGCUCAGCAAACAGAGCAAUGUAGGCUUGAACAUGCAGGAGUCAGGUCAGAGCAGGGGGUUACUGGAGGGCAGUUCACUAGCCAAGCAGGCUGCUCUUCCGGUUUGUUUGGCCAGCACAGUGGGUUUUUGUUGCUGCCAUUUUGUUUGUAGAAAUCUGUUUUCAAUUCAUACGAGUACCUUUAGCAGGGAGUCAACUCUUCAGUUAGAUACACACCCCUAUCUUGCCAACAUUUUUACCCCAGCCACUUCAUGCCAUUGCACAGCCUACCUCACCCCUGGGGCAUUUGAGUUUUCAAUACUUGAAGUCUGACAGAGAGAGUUAUAAGGGGGAAAAAAAAGUAUUUGUUUGAAAAGAACAAUUAUUUAAGCGCACAUCCUAAACAAUUGUGGUAAAAAAUUUUAAGAACUGAAAACAUCCCAUAUAAAUGUAUUUAUAUAAUCAUCACAACAUAUUAAACAUCAAAAGUUUUAGUAAAUUUAAAACCGACCAAAUUCAUGUGAACUAGAUUUAAGCCAGAAAUCCUUCAGAGAGCGAGCCACAUCUCUGCAUGGGGAUGAUUAAGUGUCUUCAUUUACUGCUUCCAUCACUUACUGUCAUUCCUUGUCUAUCGUCCUUUGAAAGGAUGCCUUGGGAGACAUUAGACUCUUCCCCAUGACUCAGCAUCAAAUAGUGAUCAUUUCUAGUAAGGCUUUGCUCUCCCCUUUACAUAUUGUUGUCAUUUCCCCUCUCUGAGCCCUUCCCUGGGUUCUUUUCUUGGAGGCAUAUGGCUCGCAUUCCUUCAUACUUCCCCUUCUCUGGCUGGCUGCUCUCACUGCUUCUUCAGUCAAGCGGCUUUCUCUUCUCAUCCUGCUCACACUUCUGUCUUCACGUACCUUUUCUGCUGUGUCUGUCACUUCCUGUCCCUGAGUUCACUCUCCGCAGCUACCCUCUAGCUGUGUGGACUGGCGCUAAGGCCCUCAUCUUCACUCUCUACACCACGGAAAGGCUCUUUAUCCAUCUCUCUAGCUGGACAGCCUGUUCCCUCCUCUUUCAGCCUCUAGGAAUACAAAACAAGCUGAUGUUUUCAGUCCUAGAAGCGGUCCUGUGACUGGGAAGAACAGAAGAGCAAAUACAAUGCAUAGGGGUAAUGGAGUGAAUAGCAACAUAUAGCCUCUGUGUACAAGGAGCCUCGUGUAUCACAGUCCAGUUGAAAAUUCGGAAAAUUUCCAGUUCCAUGUAUUUCAUAAACUUAGUUGCCAUUUUACAGGAAAAAGUAAUGUGACUAAGUGGAGGACAAAAUAUCUCUUGAUUCUUGUACGUAAACAGUCUGCAUUUCCUGGUUCCUUGGUUCUACAGUGCUCAUAGUUUGUAAUAGAUAAUGCACUAUUCCUAAAUUGUUAAGAAGAGAUGCUUGCUCAAGAUUAUAAUCAUUUCAUUAGCUGAAAUAUUUUUAAGCCUUGACUGUUCCUUUUAUUUAUUAAUUUCUUUCGCAUUGAGAUCACAUUGGUUCAUCCGGUACAGUCAUAGUUUCCACAUUUUUUUUUCACUAGACUACAGCACAAAACUACAUUAGCGUUAAAAGAAUUUCAGAUUGUGUUUAUAAUUCUGAGAAUAAAUAAAGAAUACACAUUGGCUAGUAUCUACGACCCUCAGAUGAAUGACUUAGAACAUGUUUAUGUCUUCAUCUAAUUUUUAUACUUUUGUUUAUUUCUGGGUGGCUGUGUCUCAACCCAGAAUCAUCUGUAGCUUAACAUAGUAACCAAGAGAGAAGUAAAGAAAUUGCUCUGCAAAUCCCAGGCAACAUCAUUUAUCCUGAAUAACCCCCCACCACCACCAAAGCACACCCCAUUGUGUGUAACCUUAUAUUUAUAACCUUCCCACAAUUGUUCCCUUGGGUUAGCUCAGUGGCUCAAUGUAGGAGGGUGUGCAGAGAACCUGCCACACCCUCCACACAUGCCACACAUGGCUGCAGUGUCAACAUUCUAACACCAGAUGGCACUCUUAGUAAUUUAUAGCUGGUCAGUCUUGGCCACAUAAGGUCCCUAGAAGAAACUCCAAAACAGGAAUAUCUGACUGGCUCAGUUGGUAGAGUGUGUGACCCUGGAUCUCAGAGUCAUGAGUUUGAGCCCCAUGUUGGGGGUAGAGCCUAUUUAUGGUAAAAGAGAAUUAAAAGAAAAAAGAAAUCCUGAAACAUCCUGUUAUCCUACUAUUCCUUUAAAAAACAAAUCACAAAACAUAUACAUUUAUAAUUGCUUUAUGGUAUUAAAUAUCCGUCAAAAACUACCUAUUCAUUUGGAAUAGAACACCAUGUUCUACAACCACCAUAUUUAUCAGUUUCUCCUUAGGUACUGUUUUAACCAAUGAUGUUGUCCCCAUGAAUUCUUUUGUAACUUACAUUAUCCACUCACAUCUCCCACAUUUCCCUUUGGAUGUCUGUAUCUCUCUGUAUCCCUCUGUUAUGCUUUCCAGCAUUAUACCAUAUUACAUAGUAGGAACACUGCUAGAAAUGCUUUUAAGUUGACAGAAUUGAGCUAUCUUCUCACAUUCCUUGAGGUAAUGCAUUUCCUCUAAACUCUUUCUUUCUUACAACUCUGCUGUCUCCCUCUACCUUCAGUCCACAGCUAAUAUUUAAUUAAACUGAGCCCAACUGAUUAUAAAACAAUCAUUCCUUUCCUCUUUCUACACUUGAAUGGUCCAAUCAGCAGAAUGUUUUCAGGGAGAUUCCCAACUGACUAGGACAAGCCUGGGCCGUUUAAUGGCCUUAUUGAGAGCACAAUGAGAUAAUUGUUUAAUAAGCCUACCACUGGGCAAUCAAAAGCUGUCAAUCAACUUGGCUUUCAUAGACAAUAUUGAAAUCUACUUUCUUAAACUCUCUAAAUAUUAACCAAUAUAAAUGACCUACUCUAAAAUAAUGUCAUCUCCAAGAGGCCAAGCUGUGAGAGUAACACCAGACUUUCCCAGGCCUUACACAUCCAGGAAACAUAUGAUAAUGAACACAGAGCAGUAGAGGGGAAUGGCUAUUUACAUUCAUACCAUUACUAUAUACUCAAAGAUUAAUUGCUCUGAUGGUGGUUCAUAGCACUUGAAUACAAAGGUCAAGUUGUAGCAAACAAACAUGGACAUUGGUAGCUGAAGACACACAUUGACUUGUGCCUUUGCAUGAAGACUGACUUGUUCUUUACACACAGGUUGAAAGGAGAAGAAAGAUGCACAGACAUAAACAAUAAACUAAUGAAGAAAAGUC